AGGAUGAACGCUGGCGGCGUGCUUAACACAUGCAAGUCGAACGAUGAAGGCUGGAGCUUGCUCUGGCUGGAUUAGCGGCGAACGGGUGAGUAACACGUGAGUAACCUGCCCCAGACUCUGGGAUAAGCGCUGGAAACGGCGUCUAAUACCGGAUACGA
rnacentral:rRNA from 1 species